CUCCAUCAUGCUGGAUGCCUUGGCGUGGCGAUGGAGCCCGCACCUGAGCCAUGCAGCAUGGCUUAGGUGUGCUAAAUUCCAGC
rnacentral:ribozyme from 1 species